ensembl:lncRNA
UAGCGCCGUAAGAAGGAAAAUCAGGGAAUUCGAUGCACCUGUGCCUAGUUAGGGACAGCGGUUGGUGAUUGGAGGAUACGCUGGACAAGGCAGUACUUAAGGCCAAGCUGGAAUUGUAUGAUUGUGAAGACAUCGCGAACCUUAAAGGUUGAGAAGUGAACGGAUUAUACGGCGAACUGAGACGACGUGAAAAAGGGGAUUGGAAGCGGCAUUGAUGUGAGUACUAAGAGCCAGUCGAAAGUGCCCUGUAUAUUGACCUGGCAUUGUGUAGAUCUCUCCAGGAGGAGGAGGGCGGCCCUACCCCUAAUAUAGCGUGGUGGGAGAGCCGAAGGAAUACUUAUUGAAGUAGUCACAACGACGACAUCACUAGCUAGGCCGCAUAUUCCAUCGCCAGAUCCGAACCAAGCGAAGUGAAGGAAGACGGGUGUCCUUUUCGUACACUGAGUGUGGUGGGUGAGUCUUCGUGCUGUGAAAACCUAUAAUUUUGACGUGGUGUUGUAUAUUGCUGUGGGCUGCUGUGUAUUGCCGUGUGUCCUGUCAGAUAAACCCCCGCCUUCACGCACUUCGUCGCGGGAGGACAAGGAGACUGCUGGUCCUAGCCUAGUUCAGUACAGUAUAUGUUGUGAGCGUGCUUCAGAUCUCCGGAGAUAGCACGGUACGCUGUGUCCAGCCCAGAGGUGAAAGCCAUCCAAAGCAGAGUAACUGUGCUUUGUGUCCAAGUUGAUACCUGUGGAGAGGAAAGGAAAGAGAGAGUGAGUAACACAAGGAGAACCAGAGGGAACCUGUACUUACAGUACGCUGUGUCCAGCCCAGAGGUGAAAGCCAUCCAAAGCAGAGUAACUGUGCUUUGUGUCCAAGUUGAUACCUGUGGAGAGAAAAGGAAAGAGAGAUUGAUACCUGUGGAGAGAAAAGGAGAGAGAGUGGGUAACACGAGGAGAGACCGAGGAAACCUGUACUUACGCCGCUGCCUGUGGAGAAAGAGAAAGCGAGUGAGCACCCAAGGAACGAACUGUGUGAACCAGUACUUACUGUGAGCUGUAAUCAGCGAAGAGCCGUUGCCUGUGGAGGAAGAGAAAGAGAGUGAGCACCUCGAGAACGAACUGUGUGAACCAGUACUUACCGUGAGCUGUAUUCAGCGAAGAGGAGGAAGAAGGAGGGCGCUACGGAUACCUAAGACUCAGGCCGGGGCCCGAGUCCCACGCCCCGGAUCCCCGUGGCCCCCUUGCUCCCUGACCUCUUCCCGGCCAUAGCCCAUCUGGAGGGCCGAGUCAGAGUUU